GCUUCUUCCACGCCGACAUGCAUCCCGGCAAUCUGUUCGUGGACGACACCGGACGGCUGGUUGCGGUCGAUUUCGGCAUCAUGGGGCGGCUUGGCCUGAAGGAGCGGCGCUUUCUCGCAGAAAUUCUUUUGGGCUUCAUCACGCGCGACUAUCGGCGCGUCGCCGAGGUUCACUUCGAGGCGGGCUAUGUGCCCGCGCAUCA
rnacentral:misc_RNA from 1 species